GUGUUGUUGUUUUUAAGUCAGAGUUUUUACACAUCUUUGUUAUUUUAAAACAAUGUUGUUUUUUUUAUUUAUAACUUUUUUUUUUUUUUUUCAUUUUGGGUUAAUUAGAAGAAUGUCAUUGAUUUCAAUAUUUGACAAGAAUUAGGUUGUGAGAGAAGUAACUGCUUAACUGCUUUGCUAGCACUCUACAUACAUUGAUGGCGCUUUCUAAUUGCUUUUUUACAUUUUUGGUUUAUUUUUUAGUAAACCUUUGGCCUUUUGGGUGUUUAAAAGAUAAAAUAUACGGUGCAUACUAAGUCCUGGGAUGGCUGUCUGCUCAUGCACUCUGGACUGUUAUUUCGAUUGUCCCAGAUUUGAACGCUUCCCUCUGCCAUCCUACG